rnacentral:rRNA from 1 species
CCUACGUGAGGCAGCAGUGGGGAAUAUUGGACAAUGGGCGAAAGCCUGAUCCAGCCAUGCCGCGUGUGUGAAGAAGGCCUUCGGGUUGUAAAGCACUUUCAGUGGGGAAGAAAGCCUUGGGGCUAAUACCCUCGAGGAAGGACAUCACCCACAGAAGAAGCACCGGCUAACUCCGUGCCAGCAGCCGCGGUAAUACGGAGGGUGCGAGCGUUAAUCGGAAUUACUGGGCGUAAAGCGCGCGUAGGCGGUCUGAUAAGCCGGUUGUGAAAGCCCCGGGCUCAACCUGGGAACGGCAUCCGGAACUGUCAGGCUAGAGUGCAGGAGAGGAAGGUAGAAUUCCCGGUGUAGCGGUGAAAUGCGUAGAGAUCGGGAGGAAUACCAGUGGCGAAGGUGGCCUUCUGGACUGACACUGACGCUGAGGUGCGAAAGCGUGGGUAGCAAACAGGAUUAGAUACCCUUGUAGUC